UACAGAGGUGGCGAGCGUUAUUCGGAAUUAUUGGGCGUAAAGGGCGCGUAGGCGGCCAAGCAAGUCCUGGGUGAAAUCCCUCGGCUCAACCGAGGAACUGCCUCGGAAACUGCAUGGCUCGAGGCCGGGAGAGGGUAGCGGAAUUCCCAGUGUAGCGGUGAAAUGCGCAGAUAUCAGGUGGAACACCAGUGGCGAAGGCGGCCUUCUGGGCCGAUACUGACGCUGAUGCGCGAAAGCGUGGGGAGCGAACAGG
rnacentral:rRNA from 1 species